GUGCGAAGCCGUAAGGCGAUGUAUACGGACUGACGCCUGCCCGGUGCUGGAACGUUAAGGGGACCGGUUAGUCACUCUUCGGGGUGGCGAAGCUGAGAACUUAAGCGCCAGUAAACGGCGGUGGUAACUAUAACCAUCCUAAGGUAGCGAAAUUCCUUGUCGGGUAAGUUCCGACCUGCACGAAUGGCGUAACGACUUCUCGACUGUCUCAACCAUAGGCCCGGUGAAAUUGCACUACGAGUAAAGAUGCUCGUUUCGCGCAGCAGGACGGAAAGACCCCGGGACCUUUACUACAGUUUGAUAUUGGUGUUCGGUUCGGCUUGUGUAGGAUAGCUGGGAGACUGUGAAAGCCGCACGCCAGUGUGGUGGGAGUCGUCGUUGAAAUACCAGUCUGGUCGUGCUGGAUGUCUAACCUGGGUCCGUGAUCCGGAUCAGGGACAGUGUCUGAUGGGUAGUUUAACUGGGGCGGUUGCCUCCUAAAGAGUAACGGAGGCGCCCAAAGGUUCCCUCAGCCUGGUUGGCAAUCAGGUGUUGAGUGUAAGUGCACAAGGGAGCUUGACUGUGAGACCGACGGGUCGAGCAGGGACGAAAGUCGGGACUAGUGAUCCGGCGGUGGCUUGUGGAAGCGCCGUCGCUCAACGGAUAAAAGGUACCCCGGGGAUAACAGGCUGAUCUUCCCCAAGAGUCCAUAUCGACGGGAUGGUUUGGCACCUCGAUGUCGGCUCGUCGCAUCCUGGGGCUGGAGUCGGUCCCAAGGGUUGGGCUGUUCGCCCAUUAAAGCGGUACGCGAGCUGGGUUUAGAACGUCGUGAGACAGUUCGGUCCCUAUCCGCUGUGCGCGUAGGAAUAUUGAGAAGGGCUGUCCCUAGUACGAGAGGACCGGGACGGACGAACCUCUGGUGUGCCAGUUGUCCUGCCAAGGGCAUGGCUGGUUGGCUACGUUCGGGAGGGAUAACCGCUGAAAGCAUCUAAGCGGGAAGCCUGCUUCAAGAUGAGUAUUCCCACCCCCU
rnacentral:rRNA from 1 species